rnacentral:rRNA from 1 species
GAUGAACGCUGGCGGCGUGCCUAACACAUGCAAGUCGAACGAAGCUUGACGGAUGAUUUCUUCGGAAUGAAACCAGAUAUGACUUAGUGGCGGACGGGUGAGUAACACGUGAGCAACCUGCCUUUCAGAGGGGGAUAACGGCUGGAAACGGUCGCUAAUACCGCAUGAUGUGUUCGGAUGGCAUCAUCUGAACAUCAAAGAUUUAUCGCUGAAAGAUGGGCUCGCGUCUGAUUAGAUAGUUGGUGGGGUAACGGCCUACCAAGUCUACGAUCAGUAGCCGGAUGGAGGGUUUGAGGGGCAACAUUGGGACUGAGAGCCGCCCGAGCCCCCCACGGGAGGAAGAAGGGGGAAAUAUUGCACAAGGGGGAAACCCUGGAUGCAGCACCGCCGCGUGAAGAAUGACGUUUUGGGGAUUAAAAACUUUUUUUCUUAGGGACGAAGACAGUGAGGGUAGCUAAGAAAUAAACACCGGCUAACUACGUG